rnacentral:snRNA from 1 species
GGAUGUGAUGGUGGUUUGGCUACAUCCCCACAUUGAUCACCAGGGUUGAUUCAGCUGAUCCUGGGUAGUUAGGCAAUAUCUCUUUCCUCCCUCACGCCUUCUUGUAUUUCCCCCCAAAGAUGAAUGCUCUGGCAAAGACAAUCUUUUCCAACAGAGGAAGACUAUUCUUUUCCUCAAAGGUAUAAGAGGAGCUGUGUCCCCCACUAGAACCUCUUACCUGGUAGCUAUGUAGCUAUAAUAAACUGUUAAUCUAUAAGUUGAUUAAUCCUU